GAUGAACGCUGGCGGCGUGCCUAAUACAUGCAAGUCGAGCGAACGGACGAGAAGCUUGCGUCGCUGAUGUUAGCGGCGGACGGGUGAGUAACACGUGGAUAACCUACCUAUAAGACUGGGAUAACUUCGGGAAACCGUAGCUAAUACCGGAUAAUAUUGUGAACCGCAUGGUUCAAAAGUGAAAGACGGGCUUGCUGUCACUUAUAGAUGGAUCCGCGCUGCAUUAGCUAGUUGGUAAGGUAACGGCUUACCAAGGCAACGAUGCAUAGCCGACCUGAGAGGGUGAUCGGCCACACUGGAACUGAGACACGGUCCAGACUCCUACGGGAGGCAGCAGUAGGGAAUCUUACGCAAUGGGCGAAAGCCUGACGGAGCAACGCCGCGCGAGUGAUGACGGUCCUCGGAUCGUAAAACUCUGUUAUUAGGGAAGAACAUAUGUGUAAGUAACUGUGCACAUCUUGACGGUACCUAAUCAGAAAGCCACGGCUAACUACGUG
rnacentral:rRNA from 1 species